UACAGAGGGUGCAAGCGUUACUCAGAAUUACUGGGCGUAAAGCGUGCGUAGACGGUUACAUAAGUCAGAUGUGAAAGCCCCGGGCUCAACCUGGGAAUUGCAUUUGAGACUGCGUAGCUAGGGUGCGGAAGGGGGAAGCGGAAUUUACGGUGUAGCGGUGAAAUGCGUAGAUAUCGUAAGGAAGACCAGUGGCGAAGGCGGGUCUCUGGACAGUUCCUGACGCUGAGGCACGAAGGUCAGGGGAGCAAACGGG
rnacentral:rRNA from 1 species